GGCUCCUGCUACCUUCUGCGGGCGGAACGUGGGUGUCCCGGGAAGGGACGGACCCCAUCUCUACUAUGCCGCAAGCGCGUUGUGUCAGCUGGCUGUGGACGGCCCGAUGAGCGUUACUUGAUUUUGUACUUUCGGCCACCUCCAAUUUUCUCAGAACGCAACAUAAGAAAAAAAAAAACUAACAGCAGUGUGUGCAGGAGAGCUUCGAAAAUAUGGGUGCUGAUGUUUGGUCACUGCUAUGGGGGAGGUCGCAGAGCUGAGAGUUGUCGGAGGACGUUUUCUGUCCUGUCUAGCUGUUCAACCCAGGGUCCAGACUUUUCAAGGGCUACUCUAUGGUAGUCCGAACUACUCACUGCUGACACUUGGCACCUAGUCUUCAUUCUGGGACCCCAGAGACAUUCUUCCCUGCUGUGACUAUGCUUGGGGAGGUGUGUCCACUGCCCGGCAUCUCAGCUUCACAAGAGGCCCCACAGGGGUCUCUCACUUGAAGGACAAGGGCCAGGGAGACCAUGUCAGUGGGAAUUACCUGUGAGGUCACGUGCUGCUGCUUCUAGUUCACUCUCUGACCUCUCCUGAAGAAGCCAAGCUGCAGAGAUGAGCUACAAAGGACAUUCUCAGAGCUGUCAAAAAGAAUCAGAGGAGAAAGGCUUCAAAGAAGACUGAGACCAGACCAGCUGCUUGGAAAAAGCAGAAGCCAGCUGAGCUGUCUGGAAGAAGUUUAGAUCAACUGAGGCACCUGGAAAGGACAAUCCACCUCCAACCUGCUGAGCUUCAUGAGUGCUGUGUGUUCCAGGUACCCAGCUUUGUGAGCUGUGGCCCAUGCUGGGGUAGGCUUUGGUGAUACUGCUGGUUUUGAGUCAUUUCUACUCCUGUAAGUAAUUCUUCAUCCAUACUCUUGUGCGUAACCCCAAUAAAACUCAUUGGUCCACCAAACUAG
rnacentral:lncRNA from 1 species